ensembl:lncRNA
CAGUAUCAUGUGAGUUACCAUGAAGGUGUUUAGUGUUUGUGUGAUUAUGACACUGUGGGCACCUUUUAUAACCAACUGUUUUUGGUGGUUAUCAGUUUAUUACAAUGGUUCAAAACAGAUAUUAGUACAUCAAUAGGUUGGUAAAUAAACAUUAUACCAAUUAAUGAAAUAUGUUUUUUUUUAAUUGUGAAUUUAAGUUAAAUCUGUAAAACCAAUAUGCUACCACCAUAUAUUUUAUAAGAUGAAGUUCUGGCAACCACAGCUGCCGGUAUUUUACCGUAAAUGUCACCGUUUUUUUUUUUUUUUUUACAGUGUAGCUUUGUUCUAAAAUUAACUAUAUGCUGUAAGCCAGCUUCAAUAGAGUGUGAACAAACCUGGUCAAUAAUCAGAUCAUCCAGGCUUAAACGGGUCAGAAUAACUGCUGUUAAAAACAGCGUUGUGUGACCGCCAGACAACGAUAAGGAGAUGAUGAACAGGUUUUUAGAGUUGUUGAUGACAGACACUCAAGCUAAAGACCACAGCUGUUGAUCAACUGCAGAAAUGCUACCGUGCUAAGUAUGCAUGGCCUGCUUUGUGUCAAUGUUUACAUUCUGAAGCGUGCAGUUGACUGAUCUAAUUGUCCAUGAUCGCUUUAACAACAUUGAAAUAAGCCUGGUUGACAGUGUCUAGUGUGUUUUAACUUAAGCUGUUUACUAUAUGAGGAGCUUUAUUUACAGCCAGAGAGAGAGAGAGAGAGAGAACAUCCCGAUAAGGACGAUGUCCCCUCUGGGAAGGACUCCUCGUCUUUCCCCCUUUAGAUCCGUGGCCUUUUAUUGGCUUUAUUGCAAUAACAGUACUGACACUGGAUCUGUUCGCUCUAUAAAGAAGAGCUGACGUCAUGUGUGGAUUCAGGUGCUCAUUCAACCUCUCAAGUCUAUCCAGGCAAGAAAGAAGGGCUUUGUGUCUAAAACCACUUACACAUUCACUUUUAAACCGUCGGUUGCCUUGAUACUUACUGUUCCAGACGUCCAAGGAUGGAGGUCAUGAAGGUGUUUUAACAGACUCUUGAUGAAGCACUGUCAUACAUCUUGUGCUGUCCAGACAUAAAAAUCACAGCUGUAUUGAAUCUCUGUCUUUGUGAUGUAGAAUAAUGAGGCAGUGACUUCCUCCUACAAUCAGUAACGUCCAUGUUUAAUUGCUGCAUCAAGCAUCAGCACGUCUUCCAGUGUUUUGACAGCGCCUCUAAUGAAUGUGUCACUUAUUAUGUCAGCUUUUGUCAGUGGAUGAACUCGGU